ensembl:lncRNA novel transcript
GCGGUCCGGGAGGGAGGUUCGGCGGCGGGAGGCAGCAUGUAGGUUGCAGGGCUGAAGAAGCAGUUCUACAAGGCCAGCCAGCUGGUCAGUGAGAAGGUCGGAGGGGCUGAGGGGACCAAGCUGGACGAUGACUUCAAAGAGAUGGCGAUGUCAUCAGCAAGGCGGUGACGGAAAUGCUGGCAAGGACCAUCAAGUACCUGCAGCCCAACCCAGCCUCGCAGGCUAAGCUGACCAUGCUGAACGCGGUGUGCAAGAUCCGGGGCCAGGUGAAGAACCCCGGCUACCCGCAGUCGGAGGGGCUCCUGAGCGAGUGCCUGAUCCGCCACCAGAAGGAGCUAGGCAACGAGUCCAACUUCAGUGACGCACUGCUGGAUGCCGGCGAGUCCAUGAAGCACCUGGCAGAGGUGAAGGACUCCCUGGACAUAGAGGUCAAGCAGAACUUCAUUGACCUCCUCCAGAACCUGUGUGAGAAAGACCUGAAGGGGAUCCAGCACCACCUGUAGAAGCUGGAGGGCCGCCGCCUGGACUUAGACUAAAAGAAGCGGCAGGACAAGAUCCCCGAUGAGGAGCUGCGCCAGGCGCUGGAGAAGUCUGAGGACUCCAAGGAGGUAGCAGAAACCAGCAUGCGGUCCUGGACACCGACAUUGAGCAGGUGAGUCAACUCCCGGUCCUGGUGGAGGCGCAGCUGUACUACCACUGGCAGGCCUUGCAGAUCCUAGACGAGCUGGCAGCGAAGCUCAAGCGCAGGAUGCGGAAAUCUUCCUCACAUCAAAUAUUUGAAAACAAACUAGAAACUGUCCAACCGCAUUUCUACUGCGCCCGCCCGCAGAUGCAGUUUUCUCCGCACGUGCGCGCCUUCUCUCCUUCCCGCCCUCAGGGUCCACGGCCACCAUGGCGUAUCAGGGGCAGCAGUACCUGUGGCAGCAUUGGCCUUUGCAGCGGCGGCAGCAGCACCAGGCUCUGCAGCGGCACCCCCCAGCGGCUUAAGCCAUGGCGCUUCUCAGGGCAUUCAGCAGCAGCGUUGCUGUAACCGACAAAGACACCUUCGAAUUAAGCACAUUCCUCGAUUCCAGCAAAGCACCGCAACAUGACCGAAAUGAGCUUCCUGAGCAGCGAGGUAUUGGUGGGGGACUUGAUGUCCCCCUUCGACCAGUCGGGUUUGGGGGCUGAAGAAAGCCUAGGUCUCUUAGAUAACUACCUGGAGGUGGCCAAGCACUUCAAACCUCAUGGGUUCUCCAGGGACAAGGCUAAGGCGGGCUUCUCCGAAUGGCUGGCUGUGGAUGGGUUAGGCAGUCCCUCCAAUAACAGCAAGGAGGAUGCCUUCUCCGGGACAGAUUGGAUGUUGGAGAAAAUGGAUUUGAAGGAGUUCGUCUUUGAUGCCCUGUUGGGUAUAGAUAACCUGGAAACCAUGCCAGAUGAACUUUUGACCACUUUGGAUGACACUUGUGAUCUCUUUGCCCCCCUAGUCCAGGAGACUAAUAAGGAGACCCCCAGACGGUGAACCCAAUUGGCCAUCUCCCAGGAAGUUUAACAAAACCCGACCAGGUUGCCCCCUUCACCUUCUUGCAACCUCUUCCCCUUUCCCCAGGGGUCCUGUCCUCCACUCCAGGUCAUUCCUUUAGUUUAGAGCUGGGCAGUGAAGUGGAUAUCCUGAAGGAGAUAGGAAGCCAGACUCCACUGCUUACGUUGCCAUGAUCCCUCAGUGCAUAAAGGAGGAAGACACCCCUUCAGAUAAUGAUAGUGGCAUCUGUAUGAGCCCAGAGUCCUAUCUAGGGUCUCCUCAGCAUAGCCCCUCUACCAGGGGCUCUCCAAAUAGGAGCCUCCCAUCUCCAGGUGUUCUCUGUGGGUCUGCCCGCCCCAAACCUUACAAUCCUCCUGGAGAGACGAUGGUAGCAGCAAAAGUAAAGGGUGAGAAACUGGAUAAGAAGUU